rnacentral:lncRNA from 1 species
CCGACUUUGGGCAACAUCUUCCCAAACUACUCCAAUGGUCGAACUUCCACAGUGUUCCCAAGUUCUGCCGACGGAUAAACUCCCACAGCUCCUUCCACAAGUGUCGACCAGAUUCCCCUGACGGACGAACUUCCGCCGCAUCUCCCGGGCUUCUCCAAUGAUAAGCUUCUUCAGUCGUCUAUCAGGCUGCUCCAAGUGCUCUCUGGAUUCCACUAUCGGCCGACCUCCUACAAUGGUCAGCCGUUCCCCGAACCUCUUCCAGAUCUUUUCCAACAGGAUUCGAUCGACCUC